ACGAUACGUACGAUUUUACGAUACGAUACGAUUCAUACGAUACACACACUAUAUCGUACGAUUCAUGAGCAUUUACGAUACGCCAAUACGAUACGGAACUUUUUACACACGAUACGAUACGUAUCGUACGAUACUGACAACUAUGGUUACAUCUAGCAUAUUAUAGCUUUUUUAAAAUGUCAGAAAAGUCAUAAAGGCUUAUGCCGUAACAGAGCCAACCCCAUAAAUUGAAAAAUAGAAGUUCUCAAGCAUAACUAUUUUACAUAGCCAAAUUGAGGCCACCCUAGCUGACUGAAGCUUAUUAAGAAAAUAAGCAAAUAAAUAUCUCUUCAUAAAUAAAUUAAUAUCUUUUCCUAAAUAAAUUAAUAUCUCUUCAAGGAAAGCUUCAGUUACAAGCCUUCAAGGCUUCAACUGAUCUUAUGCCAUAUUCAUGAUGAACAGAGCUAGCUUCCCCUUCAACAGCCUUUUUUACUUUGCUAUUAUUAUUAUUUUUAAUAGACAUGCCACUGAAACCAUGAAAAACCAAGACCUCAUACCUACAAUCUUACUAUUUUAGGCUUUAACCAAUCCCCAUCAAUGGCAUUAACACAAGCAACACAAUUAAUGGCAUUUUUUGGGGUUCUUCCUUAUAUUAUGGUGUUAGAAGCAUUUGCAAAUAAUCUCAAUCCACCAUCUAGCUCACUUGAGAAGAAUAUAAUUUUUUUUUUUUUUUUUUGACCAAGGCCCUUAAAUAAUAUCCUUAAGUCUUAACAUUGACAGACCCCAAUUUGCAAGUUGCAAGUCCCAUAACAGCUACAGUUCAAGUAUAUGAACUUGAUCUUGUUAAUAUUCAGCUGCAAUGUGCAAAAACCAGGAUGAACCUGUUUCAUUUUGCUUCCUAACCUUCACAAGGAUGGCAAUCCCCCCCCCCCCCCAAAAUGAAAAAAAGAAAAAAGGAAUCACAAAAAGAAACAUGCAACAAUUCUCAAUAUUUCAAAUUCACCUACUCCAAUAAACACUCUGCCAUUCAGUGAGAAUGAAUCUCAUGAUACAAUUUCGUCCUAGAUUCAAAAUGUUCGUGAAGAAAAUUUUUAUGAUAGAAAAUACCAAAUACACAUAAAUUCAAGCAGCAUUGCUAUUCUGAACUCUUCCCAAAUGGUAUAGAAUUUUUCUCAAACUCCAUAUAGUCUUAGAACAACUCACAUUUUUACCCACCCCCCCACCCCAAAAAACCAUCCUCCCUAGGGGGAAAAAAAGGGGAGAGAAAAAUUAAAAUGAUAAUAUAAAUAAAAUUUAGUACAACUUCAUGGACUAAAUUGAAUAUACGCAUUAGAAGUGCAAGCUAAACCACAAUCUCACGCAAAUGCGAAAUAAAUAAACUUUGCAGUGAACUUGCAAAUUGAAGUCCUGCAAAGUGGCUCUGCAAUCUUCCAUUAGCCUAAUUUUGUUCGGUGGCUCAACUACACCAUGCACUGAAAAAUUUCACAACUUGAUAAGACAAAGUCAAAUCUCUAGCUGGCUCACUUCUCUGAUAUAGAUGAAAUCAAUUUAAUGUGUAGCCUCCAGCACAUUUCUCAUUACUAUUACCACUACAUAAACAAAACAAAUUAAACUUGGCAAACUAUUACCAAAUAACAAUCAUCCAAUUGAAACUAAUGUAUCCAUUGCAAAUGAUAGAGCAAGAAUCACCGACAAGAUAUUUUUUAACCUGUAGGCUUAUCAUUGAUCCCUUCACCAAUAUAAGCAUAGAUAGAAAAUGGAAUAAUCCCUCUUGUUCUCAAAAACUAAAGCUUAAAGAGAGUAAGAGACGGUAUAUAAUGGUAGAAACCUAAAAAAGCUAUCAAAACAAACAGAAAUGAAGAAUACCCAGAUACCUCUAGGUCCUAAGGUGAGAGAGACAGCAUCAGCCAGCUUAUCAAUCCCAUCA